GGCGAGUGAUCAAGCAGAGCGAUCUCGGGCCGUACGUGUUCACGUCGAAGCUGUUGAGUGGUGUAGCCAUAUUGAAGUUGUAGACAGAGGGAGGUUGUUGUUCGAGACAAUAGGGAAAGGUGGAUGAUAGUAGCAAAUCAGAGCAUGUGUUGUUGUUGCGGGACGGUGAACGCCUGUGAGUUUCCUCUUUUGCAAAUUUAACCAAGUAUUGAGGAAGACGUGUUGCUCGAGCUCUACAAGAGGAUUGGCCACUCCAUCACCAAUGACAUGAAGAUCCGUAAGGACCAUCCUGAUGAACAUGCUGAAGGAACACACAUGCUCUCCACCAGCAGAACACUUCUCGGUAUGUAUUUUUUAAAGAAGUGAUAUAUCGUGCUGGUCAGAUGGUUGUUACUUGAUUCAGGCAUACUUUCUGUGGGGAUAUUAGCUGGGUAAUCAUCUAGCUGGGACAUGGCAAUGGCAUUGGA